rnacentral:tRNA from 1 species
GGAGGCGUGGCAGAGCGGCCGAAUGCACUGGUCUUGAAAACCAGCGAUGGGUCUCCCAUCCGCGGGUUCAAAUCCCGCCGCCUCCG